rnacentral:rRNA from 1 species
UCAGGAUGAACGCUAGCUACAGGCUUAACACAUGCAAGUCGAGGGGCAUCAGGAAGAAAGCUUGCUUUCUUUGCUGGCGACCGGCGCACGGGUGAGUAACACGUAUCCAACCUGCCCUUUACUCGGGGAUAGCCUUUCGAAAGAAAGAUUAAUACCCGAUAGCAUAAUGAUUCCGCAUGGUUUCAUUAUUAAAGGAUUCCGGUAAAGGAUGGGGAUGCGUUCCAUUAGGUUGUUGGUGAGGUAACGGCCCACCAAGCCUUCGAUGGAUAGGGGUUCUGAGAGGAAGGUCCCCCACAUUGGAACUGAGACACGGUCCAAACUCCUACGGGAGGCAGCAGUGAGGAAUAUUGGUCAAUGGGCGCUAGCCUGAACCAGCCAAGUAGCGUGAAGGAUGAAGGCUCUAUGGGUCGUAAACUUCUUUUAUAUAAGAAUAAAGUGCAGUAUGUAUACUGUUUUGUAUGUAUUAUAUGAAUAAGGAUCGGCUAACUCCGUGCCAGCAGCCGCGGUAAUACGGAGGAUCCGAGCGUUAUCCGGAUUUAUUGGGUUUAAAGGGAGCGUAGGUGGACUGGUAAGUCAGUUGUGAAAGUUUGCGGCUCAACCGUAAAAUUGCAGUUGAUACUGUCAGUCUUGAGUACAGUAGAGGUGGGCGGAAUUCGUGGUGUAGCGGUGAAAUGCUUAGAUAUCACGAAGAACUCCGAUUGCGAAGGCAGCUCACUGGACUGCAACUGACACUGAUGCUCGAAAGUGUGGGUAUCAAACAGGAUUAGAUACCCUGGUAGUCCACACAGUAAACGAUGAAUACUCGCUGUUUGCGAUAUACAGUAAGCGGCCAAGCGAAAGCAUUAAGUAUUCCACCUGGGGAGUACGCCGGCAACGGUGAAACUCAAAGGAAUUGACGGGGGCCCGCACAAGCGGAGGAACAUGUGGUUUAAUUCGAUGAUACGCGAGGAACCUUACCCGGGCUUAAAUUGCAGUGGAAUGAUGUGGAAACAUGUCAGUGAGCAAUCACCGCUGUGAAGGUGCUGCAUGGUUGUCGUCAGCUCGUGCCGUGAGGUGUCGGCUUAAGUGCCAUAACGAGCGCAACCCUUAUCUUUAGUUACUAACAGGUUAUGUUGAGGACUCUAGAGAGACUGCCGUCGUAAGAUGUGAGGAAGGUGGGGAUGACGUCAAAUCAGCACGGCCCUUACGUCCGGGGCUACACACGUGUUACAAUGGGGGGUACAGAAGGCAGCUAGCGGGUGACCGUAUGCUAAUCCCAAAAUCCUCUCUCAGUUCGGAUCGAAGUCUGCAACCCGACUUCGUGAAGCUGGAUUCGCUAGUAAUCGCGCAUCAGCCACGGCGCGGUGAAUACGUUCCCGGGCCUUGUACACACCGCCCGUCAAGCCAUGGGAGCCGGGGGUACCUGAAGUACGUAACCGCAAGGAUCGUCCUAGGGUA